CAAUUGAGAAGAUUACAUAACUGGAAAGAUCAAAAGAAGUCGUAACAUUUUUUCUGUUUGUUAAAAUGUAAAAUGUUAUUAUUUUAAGACAUAAAAAUAAUUAAAAUCUAGUGUUUUUACAUUUUCAGGAAGAUUUCUUUUUAUGUCUUGUGUCGGAUAUAUGAUUAUAAUAAACCAUGCAAUAUCAUAAUUUUUAAAGUUAAAUGAUUGUUUUAUUUACUAUUUGUACAUAACUUUGUUGAAAGGAUAUAAUGAGCAAACCGUUAACGGUACCUAAAUACAUAUUUGUCCAAUUCACAACUGGUAUUUGUAUUUUCUAUCGCUUAUUAAAAUACAGAAUUCCGAUAUCUGCUUGUGUAUUGUAAAAAGCCAUGUUGUAAAAAAUAAAGAAAAACAUCUUCAAUAUUUAUAAAAAUAAAAUUAAAUAGAAAAACUAAAUUAAUUAUAGGCAUUCACAUGAGAAUGAUAGUUUGACAUUGAUUACGAAAUAAAUAAACAUGAAAAAUAAACGUAAAGUUAUACGAGCUUUUUUAAUUGAAAUUACCAAUAACAUUUAUACAGAAGUGUAAACUAAUACAAAAAUACACACGAUACGUAGCUACACGAGGCUUGUGAAUUAGACAAUUGUUUCACCAAUUUACUCUGUUAAUUUACUAAAUUUUUCUGAAUGUCAAGUAGUGCUUAUAUGUAUACCGCAUUUCGAUUGCGGGCGAAAAAAAAAACAAAAAUUUCAUAUUCGUAUCAAUGGUUGUUUACAAUUGGAACCACAACCACUGUCGACAACGAGUUUCAUACAUUUUGUAUGUUCCCUGCAGUUCGGCAGGACUGUCCCGAACUAACCACUUAGUGUGGCCCCAGGUGACUAAUCAUUUCAAGAUGGGCUUGAUAAUACAGUGAGACAAGUAAAAUAACAAAAUUCUUAGAGUUAUAUGCGUCUUACUCUAAUAACAUAGUGAACGAAUAAAGCAACAUUGCUAAAAUGGGAUAUUGUAUGUAUACAGACUACAAUUGUACAGAGAACAAAAGUUUGAUAAGGCGGCUGACUUCCAAAACGUCAGUUGCUGUGUAUA